GCUUGCUGCUUUGCUGACGAGUGGCGGACGGGUGAGUAAUGUCUGGGAAACUGCCUGAUGGAGGGGGAUAACUACUGGAAACGGUGGCUAAUACCGCAUAACGUCGCAAGACCAAAGAGGGGGACCUUCGGGCCUCUUGCCAUCAGAUGUGCCCAGAUGGGAUUAGCUUGUUGGUGAGGUAACGGCUCACCAAGGCGACGAUCCCUAGCUGGUCUGAGAGGAUGACCAGCCACACUGGAACUGAGACACGGUCCAGACUCCUACGGGAGGCAGCAGUGGGGAAUAUUGCACAAUGGGCGCAAGCCUGAUGCAGCCAUGCCGCGUGUAUGAAGAAGGCCUUCGGGUUGUAAAGUACUUUCAGCGGGGAGGAAGGUGUUGUGGUUAAUAACCGCAGCAAUUG
rnacentral:rRNA from 1 species